CACGAAGUCAGGGGUCCCCUCUCCUGCUGGCGGUGGUGGCACCCACACUGGCCUCAGGGCUCUGCUCACUGUGAAGAACCCGCUUCCUCCUCCCCCUGGGCUGCCCUGGAUGUGUAGGAACUGUUUACAAACUGCCCCAGCUUUGCAAAGGAUGCGUCUUGAGCCAGCCAUCAGCCGCUGUGUCCCACUGGGGGGCUCGGAGUGUUUCAUGCAGAGCUGAAGCAGGUUUUGCCCUUCGGUUCACCAGAGAAGUUGGUGAAGGGCAGCAUCCCCUGCCCCGAGCUGCAGGAGAUUUUGGGAUCCCGCAAAGUCCCUCCGAGCCCUCUUCACAGGAACACAGUGGCGAUGCUUCUGCAGAGCGCUCCCGCCGUCGGCUCUGUCAGGCAGGAGCUUUGUAGCAUUAAAAACCCCGAAUAUCUAUUUUUUAACUCCAUUCCAGUGCAUAGAGGUGUAAGUGCAGUUGGGAGAAUGGCGUGCCACUUCUGGUUUUCAUAUGGUGCUGUUGUGAGUGUGUCUAAUAAAUUAACACUAUUUUCUUGACCACUUUGCCUAGGCUGGCUGGUAUGAGUGGGCUGCUGGGACGGGGUGGUGGUGUGGAGAGCAUCGAGCGGAGCAGGUGAGAGGGGUUUGGGGUCACUUGGUUGUCCAUCAGGACAGGAAGAUGCUGUGGGCACUUUGUCCCUCAUGCCUGAAAGCAGAGAGCCCGGGGACAGCACCGCUGGGAUUUUGGAACAGGCAGCAACCCAAACCAAGCAGUGGCGCAGCAGCUGUGAAUAACCCCCAGCCUGUUUCCAGCUGGAAUUUCCUAGAAAAAAAAAAAAAAAAAGAGAGAGAAAAAGAAAAACAUAAUUGCUGGAAAAAAGCAGAUGUCCUCGCCAAGACGGCUCUCCGUGCAAAAGCGCUCAUCGGGCAGCGUGUCUUCCUGCAGCGGAGGCGCGUGGAAGUCAAAAGGAGCCGGCAGAUGGAGGUGCCGCGUCUGGAGAGGGAAUCGCCGAGCUCCGCAGGGGCAAGCGCAGCAAAACCCCAAAUGCGGGGGCAGCGCCCCAAUUUCUUGGGGUUGCCCCAAUUUUUCAGGGAGCAGCUGCUGCAGACCAGCACCCACACCACGGACCCCCUCCCACGGCCCAAAACUCGUGGUGUCAGCUCUGCACAAAGUCCUCCUCCCGCCUCUCUCCUGCAAUCAGGUCAAAAUCCAGCCGGAUUUAAAAAAAAUAAAAAAAUACCAAAGUUUCGCACAGCCCAUUGCAUCAAUGCGUGCUCAUUGAUUUAUUUUUUUUUGGUUGUUAUUCUUAUUAUCUCCCCCGGCAGGCAGCAUCUGUCUGGGCGAGGAGGAGGAAGGGGCCGGAUCAGGUGUCGCAUUAGGACCCAGUGGAGCCCCCAUGUUGGAGGUAGGAGCUUUUUCUCUCAUUUCGGAGUUUUUGAGCCCAGAGAGAAGAGACCAAGGCGUUGGGCAAGGGCGAAGGCAGCUCAUAGCAUCCGAAGCGGUAAGGCGUGAGCGGAGUCCCCGGCACUGGG
rnacentral:lncRNA from 1 species